CCAGCCAGCCAGCCAGCCAGCCAGCCAAGAUCCCCCGGCUUAGAAAGUGAAAGACGAGAACGGGUCAGCUAGCUUUCGACGAAAGAACACUCGAAACACCGUGCGGAGGGUGAAAAAUAAUCAGUCAAGCUUAGCCGAAACACUGGCCGUGCUAAACCGCACUUGGAUGUCACAGCUAUCGGUGAUGCCGCCGGUCUGCGUUCUGGACCCCCUCGCUGGAAUGCAGAAGAAGGGGUUUUGCUCAAGAGCGAUGUAAAGUGACGUUCGGGGCCGGAUUCGGUUGGUUGCGGUGGUGGAAUCCAUAUAAGGAAGAGAACCGAGAAAAAUGUAACCGGAGUGAGAUUCCGCGCUCGGGAUGGGUGCAAAGACAUCCCGGGCUGAACCAACAAAAACAAGAACUGGGACGGUAGGACGCGGCAAAAGGAGAUUAAGAUAUUAUCUGUCCGAACUUUUAAAUGUGGGUCUGUAACAUUUCUCCGCCUGUGUUCGGGAACGCCGAUAUGGGAACGGUUCCGUUCCUCAUGGAACUUCAUCGAACAGGACCGCCCCAAAGGAUUGAAGGGAUUAGAAUACGGUCCACCGAAAUGAUCUGUUAGACAGUUCCACUGACAGCGUAACCGGUCAAGCUUGUUAUUACUUUCGAUCGAACUUGCCCUCAAUCACCGGCAUCGGCCCGACCCGACCCGACGCACAGGGUCACUGACCGGCUAAACGGCGGGGGGUUCAUUGAAGACUUCCCAAGCGAAGGAUAAUCGAACCCAACGAGUUCCCAAAA